AUUGAACGCUGGCGGCAUGCCUUACACAUGCAAGUCGAACGGUAACGGGCCUUCGGGUGCCGACGAGUGGCGAACGGGUGAGUAAUACAUCGGAACGUGCCCGAUCGUGGGGGAUAACGAGGCGAAAGCUUUGCUAAUACCGCAUACGAUCUACGGAUGAAAGCAGGGGACCGCAAGGCCUUGCGCGGACGGAGCGGCCGAUGGCAGAUUAGGUAGUUGGUGGGAUAAAAGCUUACCAAGCCGACGAUCUGUAGCUGGUCUGAGAGGAUGAUCAGCCACACGGGGAGUGAGACGCGGCCCAGACGCCUACGGGAGGCAGAAGUGGGGAAUGGUGGACAAUGGGCGCAAGCCUGAUCGAGCGAUGCCGCGGGGAGGAUGAAGGCCUUCGGGUGGUAAACUGCUUUUGUAGGGAAAGAAAAGCAUGCGUUUAAUACAGGGGGGGCAGGACGGUACCGUAAGAAUAAGCACCGGCUAACUACGUG
rnacentral:rRNA from 1 species